UGACAGCCCCGUACACAAAAAUGCACAUACUGUGAGCUCGAUGAGUAGGGCGGGACACGUGGUAUCCUGUCUGAAUAUGGGGGGACCAUCCUCCAAGGCUAAAUACUCCUGACUGACCGAUAGUGAACCAGUACCGUGAGGGAAAGGCGAAAAGAACCCCGGCGAGGGGAGUGAAAAAGAACCUGAAACCGUGUACGUACAAGCAGUGGGAGCACGCUUAGGCGUGUGACUGCGUACCUUUUGUAUAAUGGGUCAGCGACUUAUAUUCUGUAGCAAGGUUAACCGAAUAGGGGAGCCGAAGGGAAACCGAGUCUUAACUGGGCGUUAAGUUGCAGGGUAUAGACCCGAAACCCGGUGAUCUAGCCAUGGGCAGGUUGAAGGUUGGGUAACACUAACUGGAGGACCGAACCGACUAAUGUUGAAAAAUUAGCGGAUGACUUGUGGCUG
rnacentral:rRNA from 1 species